GCCGGGCGAGGUGGCGGCGCCUGUAGUCCCAGCUACUCGGGAGGCUGAGGCAGGAGAAUGGCGUAAACCCGGGAGGCGGAGCUUGCUGUGAGCUGAGAUCCGGGCACUGCACUUCAGCCUGGGCGACAGACCGAGAGUCCGUCUCAAAAAAGAUGUAGCCUUUUGUUGGUGUAACCUAUUAGCCAUUGAGGAUUUGUUGUUGUUGUUGUUGUUGUUGUUGUUUUUGUUGUUUUUGUUUUUUUUUUGAGACGGAGUCUCGCGCUGUCGCCCAGGCUGGAGUGCAGUGGCACGAUCUCGGCUCACUGCAAGCUCCGCCUCCCGGGUUCACGCCAUUCUCCUGCCUCAG
rnacentral:SRP_RNA from 1 species